ACACGAAACAAUCCACUAUUAAAAAUUGAGUACAAAGUGAUUUACCAAAUACACGACCCAACUUUCAUCGAAUCCUCGUCGUAAAUCAUCUUCGUCGGUCAUCGAUCGAUCGAACUCCUCCAAUCGAUCACACUGCAAAUCCUCGCAGUAACAACGCCUCGAAUCCUCGAGCAUCCACCGAAUCCACGGCCUCUUGCGAAAUCCUCACGCCAAUACUCCAUCCGAAGCUCGUAUAAGAUAAUAAUUG
rnacentral:lncRNA from 1 species